rnacentral:misc_RNA from 1 species
AGCUAAAAAAUGUGAGGACUUCCUCAAGUUAAUAUAUCAAAUUCCUUCUAUGCUUUUUCCUCUGAACUCUCAUGCAUUAAGCCACUGCAACCCAAUUAGCCAACUUGCAUGCCCCAUAUUUUGAUCUCGGACUUCUCACAUGAUAGCAAUGCACUUAUUGUGGACUUCACUUGCUAUGAUUUGAUGCUUGACUUGUCUCAUCAUUUUAUCACAGAAUUACAUUAUGAUUUGAUCCUAGAAUCCAUUAUGCGUGCUUUAUGACUUGUUACUAGACACCACAAUUUGUGCCUCAAACUUUGAAUUUCAUCCAUGCAUUAGAAAAAUGCACACCAACUUUGCUAAUUGUGUCCCUUGAUUUUGUCCUGGAAUUCUUGCAUGAGUGCGGUGUCACUCACUCACUCACUCACCCAAUAUGAUGUCAUUGUUACAGGAAUCCUUGACACUCUCUUGUGUGGCUAUUAUUUAUUUGGUUAGUAGGUUUUGCUUAGUUAUUCCAUGGGCUAACUCUUGAAAUUGUGAUGCAACUUCUUAAUGACUGGAAAAUUGCUUCUGGAAGAGCAGUUUACUUGCCAUGUUGGAUAUUCUCAAUAGCAUUAGUCACAUCAGAAGCUAUUAAGAUUUAAGAAUCCCAACCUUUUUUUUUUUUUU